rnacentral:lncRNA from 1 species
AACAAUCACAUUGGGGGGCUUUGGAACCAAGUGUGGGGAGUUCGAUUCCUGGUUGGAGCAGCCAAGUGAUGUAAUAACCAGAGGAAGGGUUGGAGCAGCUUGGUGAUGUAAUAACCAUGGAGGAGGGUCCCUUUGGGGAAGGAGUAAAAGUCAUGUGGGAACCUGGGAACCAACAAGGGCACAACCUGCGAUUUACCUCCACUAGUCGCUGAGGGGCCGGGGGCUAGAGGUCCAGGAUUUAGUCCGGCUAAGCUGGGACACCUGGGUUA